rnacentral:rRNA from 1 species
GACGAACGCUGGCGGCGUGCCUAACACAUGCAAGUCGAGCGGGGUUGAAGCGAGGGGUAACUCGAACUUCUACCUAGCGGCGGACGGGUGAGUAACGCGUGGGCAACCUGCCCAUAAGAGGGGGAUAACAUCCGGAAACGGGUGCUAAUACCGCAUGGUUUUUGAUCGCAUGAUUGAGAAAGGAAGACGGCCUUUGUGCUGUCGCUUAUGGAUGGACCCGCGGCGUAUUAGUUAGUUGGUGAGGUAACGGCUCACCAAGACGAUG